rnacentral:misc_RNA from 1 species
UCCGAGUUGACCCCGGCAGUCUCCUGCGAGUCCCCGCCAUUACGCGCUGGCAACACAGGACAAGGGUUGCGCUCGUUGCGGGACUUAACCCAACAUCUCACGACACGAGCUGACGACAGCCAUGCACCACCUGUAUACCGACCACAAGGGGGGCCGUAUCUCUACGGCUUUCCGGUAUAUGUCAAACCCAGGUAAGGUGGGAUGACGUCGUCGGAUUCUAAG